rnacentral:rRNA from 1 species
GAUGAACGCUAGCGGCAGGCCUAACACAUGCAAGUCGAGGGGCAUCAUGGCGUAGCAAUACGCUGAUGGCGACCGGCGCACGGGUGCGUAACGCGUAUGGAACCUACCCACCGCAGGGGGAUAACCCGCCGAAAGGCGGACUAAUACCCCAUGGUUCCCCGACCCUGCCUGGGGUUGGGGGUAAAGCCUACGGGCGGCGGUGGAUGGCCCUGCGUGCCAUUAGCUGGCUGGUGGGGUAACGGCCCACCAGGGCGACGAUGGCUAGGGGGUCUGAGAGGACGAUCCCCCACACUGGUACUGAGACACGGACCAGACUCCUACGGGAGGCAGCAGUGAGGAAUAUUGGUCAAUGGGCGGAAGCCUGAACCAGCCAUGCCGCGUGCAGGAUGACGGCCCUACGGGUUGUAAACUGCUUUAGCCGGGAAUAAACACCCGUUUUAUAACCGGGCCCGAAGGUACCGGCUGAAUAAGCAUCGGCUAACUCCGUG